rnacentral:lncRNA from 1 species
AUGAUGUCUAUGAUUAAUAUAGUAUUAUGAUAUGGAUACUUGAUGUAAUGGACAUAAGGAUUGGGAAAUGACAUUGGUAAACCUAUGAUGCUAAAUGAAAGAGGAACCUAGUGUUGUGUCUAAAGACAUAGUUUACUAGUGGCAUUGGAUUUAGUGUGAUAGAAACACUUAUAACUUGGACGAGUGGCAUUGGAACCUAGUUAUGAUAUAUGCAUGAGAAUCUAGUGUAGUUGACACUUAUGACAUUGAACAUAGGGAAUAGGUGCAUUUUCUUAGUUUGUGGCAUAUUGCAUGAGAUGGCAUAUGCAUGAGAAUCUAGUGUAGUUGGCACUUAUAGCAUUGAACAUAGGGAAUAGGUGCAUUUCUCUAGUUUGUGGCAUAUUGCAUGAAAUGGCAUAUUG